CACGUAGGGGGCAAGCGUUGUCCGGAUUUAUUGGGCGUAAAGAGCUCGUAGGCGGCUCGGUAAGUCGGGUGUGAAACCUCCAGGCUCAACCUGGAGACGCCACCUGAUACUGCUGUGGCUAGAGUCCGGUAGGGGAGUGUGGAACUCCUGGUGUAGCGGUGAAAUGCGCAGAUAUCAGGAAGAACACCAGCGGCGAAGGCGGCACUCUGGGCCGGAACCGACGCUGAGGAGCGAAAGCGUGGGUAGCAAACAGG
rnacentral:rRNA from 1 species